rnacentral:lncRNA from 1 species
CACUAACGUUAUCAUAUUCCCAACCAAACAAAUUAUGCUCCUAAGAUUCACUCGUUCUAUCAUAAUUUUUUUUUAAAAAAAAAUCACUGUAUUUUUCUCUAGAAUAAAAAAUUUUAAUUGAUUUGAGACAUAAAUGAGAUGAUGCAACUGCUACGCGGAAGACUACUUCUAUGCAUCGGUACAAAUUAUACAUCCAAUAUAAUAUUUGAUAAUUAAUAUUUUAAAA